rnacentral:lncRNA from 1 species
AAAUAUAAAUUUUCAUAGCAGCAACAAGUCCUUUAAUUGAUUUGGAUGUCAAAAUAAUAAUUCAUCUGGAUCUUCUAUAACUUGAUUAUUUUUCCAAUAAUUUGCAACUAUGGCGAAUACUGAUGAGUUUCCGCCGCUAUGCGUCAAUAACAUCAAUUGAGGAACAUGCUGUAUUAUCAGACUCCAUCGAUCGAAGAUUCACACCUGCAAAUCAAGAUCUAAAGUUUCAAAUCAAAUAAAAUCAAAUAUCAUAGUUUUGUUUAGUACUAAAACCUUACAUUAUCAUUCAUACCUUUUAUUCUAUAUGAUAUAUCAGUCACGGUCCAAAUUAGUAUUGGAGAUGUUUUUAUCUCUCUCUCCCAACAUACAAGAAAGUCAAUAGAUGUUCAUUAAUAUGCAUAUGGAUAUGCUAAAACAAAGGGUCAGGAACAUUUAAUAAAAUAAGAAAUGGAAAUGAUAAAAAAAAUGAAAAGACAACAUAGCCUAUUUUCUUUCUCCGGUUGCAGAAAAUAAUCUUAUUUCAUGCAUUUUCAUUCAACCACAGAUCUCCAGAAAAAAGUCCAAACACAGUUGUUCCACUGAUAGGACAUCCAUGUAUAUAGAGUAAAGUAUAUAGGAAAUUCCACUAAAAGCUUGAAGAAAAU